AUCCAGACCAUAAACAAAAUGUAUGUACAUUCUUUCCGAGUAAAAUGAUUUAGAGGAAAACGAUUGCUCUUUUUUUUUCUUGUUUUUUUUUUGUUGCGCUCCAAACUAAUCCAUAGAAGAGCAGUUGACCAUUUCGAGGGUGCGUUGAAUUGAGCAUCUGAGCAUCAUUGAAGAGGCUAAAUUUUCAACGCACUUGCAUUAAAGAGGAGAACUCACAAUACGCAUCUUGAUCUACGAGACAUGAUCAGGCUUACAUUAUAGAACAACUGCAGAUGAAGCAUGCCAAAAGAACAAAGCUUCUGAAUUUCGGGUUUAUUUGUUCAAAUCGGAGCCUAAAAACUGAGCUUCAGCUAAUAGUACAGAACGUCAGAAUCAUUAUCCAUUCUUAGAUUCCGAUAGACAAGAUCAUGCGACAGGAAUCUUGAAAAAAAGAAUCAAUCUGUUAAGAAUAAACGAAAGCCUUUGACCGUUGUGCAAUGCAUUGAAAAUUUGGUCCCAUCCUCCUCGUGAACAAUAAACAUCAUAUAUUUUUCGAAUGCGUAGCGGGCUCUCACCUCCCGAUUUCAAGCCGAAGAAUCAGGUGAACAAAUCGACACGAAGAAACGCAUCUCGCGAUUUGUUGUUUUCAAACAAAAUAGCAUAUACUAUUAGGGGGGGGGGGGGGUGAAAGAACAGAGAAACAAAAAAGUAAAGGAGACUCUGCCCUCCGAAUGGACACACAUGCAUCCUCAUCUCAAGAAAACGAAACCAAAACCGGAGACCCAAUGCCUUUGACAACUUCCAUACCCAAAAUAUCAACUUCGCAAGAGCACAUUUCAAGAUUCAGGGGGAAGGGGAGGGAAAUGCUUACAGGAGGACCCGGGAGAGGAAUCCGCCCAUCAUCUUCUCCGACGUCCUGCGCACAUCCAGAUCCAACAGAACCGACACGAAUCAGAACACACCAUCAGCAGCAACGAAUUUCCAAGAGAGGACGCAAAAGAAUCUGCAAAAGAAACCUCUUUUGGAGAUGGAUCCGGCGAGGAGCGGCGAAACGGAGAGGGCGGAGAGAGAUGGUCAGGAGCUCGCCACCCUCCCCUGUUCCCUCUCCCUCUACGCUAUCCCUCCCUCCUCUAUCGCGGCUUAACUAAAUAUACCGGCAAUGCGGUGGUGGUUUUGCCGAGAUGAGGAGGAGGAGAAGAGAGAGAGAGCCGGAGAAGAGGCGAGCACGUCCGCCGUCAGCUCGAGCUCCAACCAACCGGACCCCUUCCUGUUUCUUUUUGUAUCACCGGGUUAUAAUAAGUGGAUGUACCUGGAACAUAUCUUUAACCAAUUAUAAAUGCGCCAUGUCUACCUCUCUCUCUCUCUAUCUCUUUCUCUCGUGUUGGGAAAAAUAAUGUUUCAACGCCCACUAAUUUUUUUUAACUCGAAUGCGAUGCGACACAUUCUUUCAUCGCACGAACCUUUCCUCCUGAUGCAACCGUUGAAUCAUCAUCUGGUUUAGGUUUUUCUUCCCCUUCAGUGUGGUUAUGUUGCAAUGAUUGCCGGUGAAUCAUCAUCUUUAAUUAGGUUCACCGUGAUGAGGGAGGCUUCACUCCGCCGUACAAUCAUGGCGUUGAUCUCGUCAGUAGCUUUUUCCCUUCAUGACCAACUGCAUCCUGACCCCGCGUGAUGAAAGGCCAAAGUGGCAAAGUGGUUAAGCCGGUAGAGAGCAGAGCAAACCAGAGGCAGCUUUGAACACACGGCUCGCCUCAGCCUCCCGCACACAGCACUGCUAUUCUUGUGCGGAUCGAUCGGCAGCAGCAUGGGUUGGAUCAUGGUGAUGGAUGGUAGCCGUGGGAUGGGAGCGGUAGCCGGUGGUAGGUCAUGAGUGACAAAGCUAGUAGGACACGCACCGCGAAUCUGGCCGGAUCUGAGCAAAAACCUCGCUCUCGCGCCGUGCGCGAGAAACGUCACGAACUCACGCGUGCCUCCAAGCCGUGCGUGGCCCGGGCGGCUCCCCCUGCGCGGCGCGGCCGCACAUGCGCGCCGCCUGCUCGCUCUCGAGCUGAUGAGCGAAUGCUCGCGUAGAGACGGGACGAGAGGACGAGAGAGGAGGGGUUUGUUUUGUCGGUUGGGAGGCGCACGCACGUGAGCCUGCACGUUUCGGGCUUUUGGAUGGCAUCCCAUGAUUGCCGUGCAUGGGCGGGCGACGAGACGAGGAGGGGGGCUAAAUCUGGGUUUAUACUGAGAUUAUAUACCUACCUGCCUAGCUACCUGCCUUUUUGCCUCGGUGUAGUAUGUGGUAUUCCCGACAAAUACAUUACCUUUGCUGGCUUGAUGCCUCUAAAAUUAGGACAUGUGGAUCCGAUCGAUCAGCGUCGCAUCUAGGUGCGUGUUUGUUGCAGUGGGGAGCUCCUUUUCUAUACUUUGGGAAAUCAACAUGUAUGUGCUUUAGUUAACUUUAUAAAUCUCGAAAUCGCAUAAACAAUUCGCGUUUUACAGAUAAGCACGGGAGAAUCUGCGAAUGAUCGGAUCAACUCGUUUAUUUGAGUGGAAAGGAUCUUGCAACUUGCAACCGCCAACAUCAUCAACUCCUUUUGUUAGCGACCAAGGGGGUGAUUAUGCCCAUGGAUUGCUGAAAUACGUGCGUCAUGUCAGAUGCAUGUCUCUGUUGCCCGGAGCGUAGCUGUCAGCUUAUCUGGUUAUACUUAUACGGCAGUAUGGCGCCCAUGUUCUCUCCCUAGUACAGUUUUGUCCUACGUUAUGUCCUGUGUGUCUGGCUGUAUCGCUUGUAACAAUUGAUGCCAUGAAGUUACAUGAACUCUGUACAGUACACUCUAAUGUACCGUAAUUUAUCUUGCCAUUAGCUGAUGAGUUGAGGACGGCUGAUGUAGAUCUGUUCUUUCCCGUUGUUCCUCUGCCUUGGCACUCAUCGUUCAUUUUUCUCUAUUGAUAGAUGGGCCUUUGGAAUCAUAAUUGGUAGGUGAGGGGAUAGGCAGUUUAGUGAUCGGUCACUAAUGUCAUGGAUGCAUUGACACUGAUACGUUUCAGCAGUGUUCAGUUGGUUGGUUUGUUCUUAUGUCACGGCAACCUAACCCUACUUAUUGUCUUUAUUAUUUUAUUAUCAUAAUUGCCUCCAUUCCCGGUCCCCACCAUGCAGAUAGGUAGUGGCCACUGGCCACAUCAUGUACGUAUAAGGCCCUGUUUAGUCCAUAAAAUAAAAAUUUUUACACUAUCACAUCGAAUGUUUGAACACAUGUAUAGAGUAUUAAAUAUAGGAAAAAAAACCAAUUACACAAAUGGCGUGUAAAUUGCGAGACGAAUCUUUUGAGCCUAAUUGUGCCAUGAUUUGAUAAUGUAUUGCUAUAGUAAACAUUUGUUAAUGACAUAUUAAUUAGGCUUAAUAAAUUCGUCUUGUAGUUUUCUGGCGGAAUCUGUAAUCUGUUUUGUUAUUAGACUACGUUUAAUACUUUAAAUAUGUGACCGUAUAUCCGAUGUGACAAUCAAAUCCAAAAAUUUUCCCCACCUAAAUAAGACCUAAGCUUCACGAACAAAACUGCGCAAGUAAUUUCUCUAACAGGUGUGGACACCAACAUACUCUGCACUAGUAGUGGUUAUUAAAAUUUGACCAAUUACAGAUCAAAGUGCAAAUAUAUAAUUUCAGGCAGUUGGCAACCAUAGGUCUUGUGUAUACUGUCUAGUCCAAUCUUUGCUCACUUUAUCAGUGUGAGAUCAUCUGUGAUGUAGUCUGUAUCAUCAAUUAACCAGCGGAAGUUUGUUAUUUAGGCUCAUCUAACUGCCCCUUGACGGUAUUGUUAUACUAGUAUUAUUUUGGCAUAUGAAUCCAGGAUCAUCAAUUUUAUCCACUAAAUUAAAGAUAGCCUAACACACCUAUAACAGUGUGGAAUAGUUUCCUGAGUGGUGGGCAUAAUCAUUUUCCUGAUCUCACUCCAAACCAACUCAAAUGGUCCACAUUUGCAGAACUUAGGCCACCUGAUUUUGAAACAACUGAAAUAUAAGAUGAAUUUGAAAGUUUGGAGCAGCUGCAGCCUUCAGCACACUCUGUAUUCGUGUGCAGUAAAAAAAAAAUCCAUUUGCUCACAAUCAUAAAAAUAAUAUUAAAUCCGAUCGUCGCAAAGGAACCAACACCAAACAGACCAAAAGAAGACAGAUUGUGCCCGAAGGAAAUCACAAACUUCCUUUCGUGAAACAAAGCUGCUGCAUUAGAUCCCCUUUUGAUUUUUCUAGAUUAGAUCCAUCUCACACUCAUACACCGCUUUACUACCUCUAUAUCAUGGACGCAAUCACCUUUGCUAGAUAGGCCCUCACCCACCUGCCUUUGCUGCUAGCUUCAGAAACGGAUAACGAUACGUACUUUAGCCAUAAAAAGAUGAUUUCAUCUAAGCAUCGAGCUGAAGUACUAGUUAUACAACUCUAACGGAUAGUGAGUUCGUUCAGUCGGAGACAGAGUGCAGUCCAGCAGAGUUCAGAGUUUCAGAUGGCUUGUGCGACACAAGUUGUGUCUGCUUCAGAUGGAAUUGGAAUAGUGACUGCACGUUAACGACUGCACACAAUUUCGACCGUCCAUUUUUACGAUCAACGGUCCAAAUGUAAAGCUACAGUAACCGAUGUGAACAGCAUUUUGUGCUGUAGUAUUACUGUAUUACUACUACAGUACUGUGAACAGUACGCUGCUCGCUCAGGCCGUCCGAUUUGUAUCCGAUGAUGCAUACCGCUACUGCUUAAGUUGCAGUCGCUCCAAAUCCCUUGAGAUGGGCCUCUAGGAGGUGAGGCCCAAGUUGGAAGACGCCCACAUCCAAAAUUAGAGCGGGGAUAAACGCAGAAAUGCUAUUAGGCGCAGUUUUGUUGAUUUCGUCGCAGAAUAAGCAUGCUAAUGUACGGUUAGAAAACAAGGCAGAUUAACGACGCAUGCACAUAUAUAUAAUCUAUAUAAACUUUAUUUAUUUCGUUUUAUUUGCACAAUACAUCUGUGUUUCACUAGUAGAGAAACCAUCUUUGGUCGGUCGACCCAAAUCCACAAUAGUCCCGGUUCCAUUAAAAACCGGAACUAAAAAUGAUUUUUAGUCCUUUUUAAUAAGAGGAAGAUCUUUAAUCCCGGUUGUCGUUAAAAAUGAUUUUAACUCCAACAGAGACUAAAGUUCAUUUUUAGUCCCGGUUGAUUCCAUGUCAGGCCGUGUCAGGGCCCUAUGAUCUUUAGUCCCGGUUAGUAACACCAACCGGGACUAAAAACCUAUUUUUAGUUCCGGUUGGUGUUACUAACCGGGAAUAAAAAUCAAAACACACUAUAUAAUCCAUAGUACCGAUCCUCUUUUCCCGUCCACACAACAAACUCCUCCCUCUAUCUCUUUUUUUCCUCUCUAACUUCUUAUCUCUUUCCUUAUCUCUAACUCCCCUCCUCUCUUUCCUUUUUUCCUUCACCACAGUGCAGGCGGCCGGCGCGGCGGCGGCGCGGCGGUGCCGGGGGCUGCGCGGAGGCGGUAGCUGCGGUGGGCGGCCGCUCGGCGGCGACCGGCACGGCGCUGGCCGGCCAGCGCGGAGGGGAGGAGGGGAGGCGGCAGUGGUCGCCGGCCGGAUUUUUUUUCUUUUUUUAGAUGUGAAUCUAUGAUGUAUUUUUGUGUGAGAUGUGAAUCUGUGAUGAAUUUUUUAGAACCCUGUGAUAUAAUUUUUUUAAGAGUUUGUGAUGUAUUUGGAGAUGAUUUGUUUGAGGAUUUUGAGAUGUUCUGUAAUAUGUGAUGAUUUGGAUAUGGGAGGGGAUGGUGUGAAAUCAAUAUUCAAUAUUAAAAGCAGAAAAAAAAGAAAAAAUAUCUUUAGUCCCGGUUGGUGUUAUCAACCGGCACCAACCGGGACUAAAGAUGCUCCCAACCGGGACUAAAGAUUGAUUUUUAGUCCCAGUUAAGAUAGCGAUCUUUAGUCCCGGAUUCGUAGUCCCGGUUGAAAAACCGGGACUACAGGAGGGUUACGAACCGGGACUAAAAAAACAUUUCUCCGCCAGUGUUUCUUCGUAGCAGUAAAACUGAAGCUCCUUGUAAAGCAUGCAGGCCAAGCCAUUCGAUUUUAGUAGCUUCGAAACAAGAUCGGCCGAUCUAUAUACUUAUACUAAGCUGGAUUCGGGCACAUCUGAUCAGUGACAGAAUAGGUUGAGUUCGACGGUCUUGCCGCAGAGGCCCAGAAUCACCCUGAUCGGAGGAGGAAGGACGCCGAUAGGGCCUUUGAGAGCGCGGCACAGGCAGUCAGUGGCGCCGCUGCUGGAUAGAUCCUCCAGCGGUGGGCAACACUGUUGCCUAGCCUUGCUUGGAUUUAGUACCAGAUCGAAUAACGAGAGUUUUGUGCACUCUUUAAGGAUAACUAUUUUGAUGAGUGGGCAACGGCCGGGUGGUGGUGGUUGGUUUUGCGGAGGCGGUGACGGCAUCGGCGCCGGAGGUGGUGGCGUUGGCGGCAUCGGUCCUGGGGACGGCGGUUGUGUUGGCGGAGGCGGUGACGGCAUCAGUGCCGGAGGUGGUGGCAUCGGCGGCAUGGGUCCUGGGGACGGUGGCUGUGUUGGCGGCGGUGGCGACGGCAUCGGCGCUGGUGGUGGUGGCAUCGGCGGCAUGGGUCCUGGGGACGGCGGUUGUGUUGGCGGCGGUGGCGACGGCAUGGGUCCUGGGGACGGUGGUUGCAUUGGUGGAGGUGACGGCAUCGGCGGCAUGGGUCCUGGGGACGGCGGUUGUGUUGGCGGCGGUGGCGACGGCAUCGGUGGCAUGGGUCCUGGGGACGGUGGUUGCAUUGGUGGAGGUGACGGCAUCGGCGCCGGAGGUGGUGGCAUCGGCGGCAUGGGUCCUGGGGACGGCGGUUGUGUUGGCGGCGGUGGCGACGGCAUGGGUCCUGGGGACGGUGGUUGCAUUGGUGGAGGUGACGGCAUCGGCGCCAGAGGUGGUGGCAUCGGCGGCAUGGGUCCUGGGGACGGUGGCUGUGUUGGCGGCGGUGGCGACGGCAUCGGCGCUGGUGGUGGUGGCAUCGGCGGCAUGGGUCCUGGGGACGGUGGUUGCAUUGGUGGAGGUGACGGCAUCGGCGGCAUGGGUCCUGGGGACGGCGGUUGUGUUGGCGGCGGUGGCGACGGCAUCGGCGCCGGGGGUGGUGGCAUCGGCGGCAUAGGUCCUGGGGACGGUGGUUGCAUUGGUGGAGGUGACGGCAUCGGCGCCGGUGGUGGUGGCAUCGGCGGCAUCGGUCCCGGGGAUGGUGGUUGAGUUGGGGGAGGUGGUGACGGCAUCGGCGCCAUCGGUCCGGGAGACGGUGGUUGUGUGGGCGGUGGUGUUGGUGGCAUUGUUGGCGCCACAAUGGGUGGCUGUGUUGUCCGCUGAGCAUGGGCGAACGGCGAGAUCGGGAGGACGAUGGCAACGAGGACGAACGCGGCGGACGCCAUGGAGGCCACCAUCGUUAGCUACUACGCACCAGCGCUGAUCAGCUAGCUUGUGUGCUUUCCAAACAUAUCACCUGCAUGAACAAUUUAUAGGCAGCAUCUGCCUAGCUAUAGUACGGAGCACGCGAUGCACCUGCCGUGUUUAAUUCAUUAAUUGUCUCGUCUGCAUGCAGCGUAUGCACAGAGUCAAAAGGCAGCUCUUUUGAUCUCUCGUGUACUAGGCGUACUCGCUUUGUACCUCGUAUCCAGCUACGUAUAUAUUCAACCGACGGAGUGUGGGCUCGUGGACAUUCGGAAUUCCGGGGAUGAUUGGAUUUACUCAUUCCAUUUGAUAUUAUAGAAGUCGCUUUAACUUUUUAUAAAAAAAACAUUUUUAACUUUAAUUAAGUUUAUAGUAAACUAUAACGAUACUUAUAACAUCAAAUUAAUUUUAUUAAUUAACAUUUAUUAUAUUUUGAUAGUAGUAUAUUUGUUUUGUGUUAAAUGAUUGCUAUAUUUUUCUAUAAAGUUAAUCAAACUUAUCGAAAUUUAAGUUUUAAAAAUAUCAUAACGUCUUAUGAGUCAGAGGGAGUACUCCGUUAGCUUCAAGAGCACUGCAGCUAAGUACAAAUGUACAAUCAUGUAUUGCUCAUUUGCUGCUUUUGCUAGUCUGCUCGUGAGCCAAAAGUCUGGCGUUAUACUGCAUAGCUUGGUGAAUGGUGGGUCUGGGGGCCUGGGUUUUGGCGUUAUUCUGCAUAGCAUGACAAAGAACAUGCACAGAUCAGAUGUAACUUCGUCUAACUCAGCAAGUACGUACGUCUAUAUAAGCUGCAAAAUCUCUCGAGUCCUAGCUUAUAGGAGCAAGAAAAAUACAAGAGCAUGGCACGUGCCUGCGUGGUACUGUUGCCGCCCUUAUUAUCCAAGUCAACGACGAUGAGUCGUUGAUGACAGCUGAACACAUGCUCAUUUUAUCCCAAAAUAGACAAAUCUAAUUUAGACUAUGAUACAUUUUAAUAUUACAAAUCUGAAUAAAUCCUAUCUAAAUUCUGUAAUGCUCGUUCUUUGUGGCUUUAGCGGGAAAAUUUAAUUUUUAAAAACCCUAUCGUGAAAGUUGUUCUUUGAUUGAAGAGUAGCUGUGUUGCCAAGAUCUCCCUCCAAAUCUCUGAUCAAACCAAAAUUCCAGCGAAAAAUUCAAAUUCAAAUAAAAAAAAUCCCAAAACUCUCUCAACAAAUUCAUGGAAAAUUUCAAAUCAUUUCUCAUUUCAUUGAGGAAGAAGCUCAAAAUCUUGAUCAAGGAAAGUCACAUUCGAUCAUAUUGAGCCCAUAAUUUGAAAUUAAGCACUUUAAUUUUCCAAAUUGUGCAUCUCUAGGUUACACAUGGAAGGCUCGGCCGCGGUUUGCAAUAUAGCCGCCAAGCCCUCCUAACUUGCUGCACAAACUUCCUUUGCUAAUUGAGUUAUCCAAAACACCCCUUGUCGUCUACCUUGUUGGGUUUCAGUAUUUGUACUCUUGAGUAUCAAAACCAAAGGCCUUUCUCAAAUUCAAAAUGAUCAACAUUGGGUAAAAAUUGGGUUUUGUUGAAUCCUUAGAAAAACCCAACACAAGGGUUGGUGCAUUAAAAAGACGUACUGGUGGUGUAGUCUUACCAUUCUCGUAUCUAAGGACUGAUUUUGUUCAAAAUUUCACCAAGCAUAACAUAGUGUGACCGCAUGGGUGAAGUGGGACACCCCCUAACUGAGUAACUAGCUAGGGCAGGGAAGCCUUGAUGCCGAUGGACAAGUAGAUUCACCGGGAUGGUGUCGGGAAGGACCCCUAAGCUUCCUGGUGCAACAUGGUCUGAGACCUAACAUGUUCUUGGUCCAUGAGACCCCUCCAGUUGGCAUAAGGUGACCCCAUGUCUGCUUUGGAAAUACCUUGUCACGAAAGCUUCAAAGUCCUUUUGUCUCUUUGGCCAGGAGCCAUUGUUGUUGAUCCAACAAUGAUACACUACACUCCUCCGACUGAGUGAGACUCACUCUCACUCUGGUCGUCGAGAAGCACUCACUAGACGAAUUCAAAACUUGAAAAUAAACAACCUUUCCUCUAAAGCUAGCAUUAAACACUUAAUACCCCUACCUUGGUCUGUAUAAUAUAUAGUACCCACCCUUGCUCUCUAUAUAAAUAUCUACUCCCAACUCUCGAAGAGGAGGAGAUGGAACCCGAAGAUGAGUUCUUCUAGGAGCAAACGACUUCAGUCAAUCCUAGAGUUUCGGCCAAGUUUCCAAGUCACACCUGUGGUGUUGGUCUUGUUUCACUUCCGUUAUCUUUGGCACUGACUCAUUGUGAACUCAGGGUAUGUUUGUAGUUGCAACAUAGAUGUAAAAAUAUUGAUAUUAGUGAAACUCUAUUGCUGUGAUACUCAUCUUCCUGUUGUACCAGCGCUGCUUCCUAUGACUGGUACAGGUUCAUAGGUUAAUGAAUCGUCCUAAGAUGACCUUCUAUAUGGCUAGUCCGGGGCGUGACAGAUUCGUAGUGUUUAUUUUAGGACGGUACGUGGCUGAUAGUCUGAAGCAGAGGAAAGAAUAUUCCUUAUGUGUGUGUUGUGCCUCCUUGUAACUACAAGGUAAAGAAAAAAAAUUGAGAUGGGAAAUUAAAUAGGAAGGAAUUAAUAUAUAUGCACCAGAUUUAGGAGCGUGUGAUGGAUUUUCUAGCAAAUGAUGGAGCAAGAACGUUCAUUGAAAGAAAACCAGAAAGGGAAAAUAUGAAAAAUACUAUUUUAAAGAUAUGUUGCAAGAUAUCAUAAGAAUGACGCAUGGGACCAAGACCCAUAUGUCAAUCACAUAAACAAUGUUAUUUUUCAACUCUAUAAUACUUUUUAUGAGAAAACCCAUGCCAUAAUGUUAUGGGCAAAGAAAGAGAUACAAGUGGCCCUGUUUGGAUCAGGAGAUUCUAACAACCGUAGCUUUUUCUAAAAUCUUUACCUUAGCUUCCCCCAAACAGUUCAUAUCGUCACUUUGAUUCUCGUAAUCUGUAGCAAUAGAAUCCUGAAAAAUGAACUUGAAGUUAGAAGUUGAGAAACACAUCUUUUUAAUAUAUUUUUAGAAGCUAGCUACCAACCAACUAUUUCUCACAGUUCCCUAAAAUGGAGCCUGUUAUAUUGUGCAGAGAUCAGGACGUGCAAAUUGAUUGGCCACAACUGCGCGGUGAAGAUAUGUAAAAUGCAAAUACAAUCCACAGAAUAAACUUUCUUGUAAUGCAAAAUAACUCAUAUGCACAAUCACAUUGUGUAUUCACUGGUCUUCUCAAGAUUUUGUUAUGUUGAAGUUUCUCGUGCUAAUUAGAGAGAAGGCCACGGAGAAAGAAAUUCUCUCUCUGGGCAUGAGAGAGAGAGAGAGUAUAAGUGGAUUCAAAUUAGGAAAUUUAAGAGGUCCAAUUUCGAGAUCAAAUGCCUGAGAUAUGAUCAAUUUUCAAGUUUGAAUGUUGCUAAAGCAUAAAACUGCCAAAUUAUCCAACUAUUCUUCUGUAAAAAAAUUAUUUGUGGUGCCUGUCACUCGAGUUGCGUAUAUAUCACUUCAAUUUUGCAAGGUAUCUAGCAGGUGAAGCCCAUGGACUCUUUGACACAUGGUCUCAUAGAUUGGUCGACGCCCACUCCACAAGGAUUGAAUGGUUAGAUUACGCCGGUUACUGAGUGCGAGCCUCACAUACCAUCCACCAUGGAGGCCAACAUGUGGAACACAGUGGUCAGCCCAGCCAAAGCAAGUCCAAUGCAACACCCUCGUCAAAUGGUUUUCGAUGACCAUCCACUCGGCCGCGUGCCAAGCUGAGGGAAGAAAGCGAGGAGAGUGUAGGAUCAAAACACAAGAACUAAGCCAACCAGAGGGGAGUGAAUGGUUGGUAUACCCAAAAAUCCAAACUUUUUGCGGAAUUAAAAGUUACCUUCAAAUUUGACGGAUCGCGGUCUGACCGAAGGUGUUGCGCCGGUCUGACCGCUUGGAAGCCGUCGGUCUAACUAGAGUAGAUCGUCCGGUCUAACCGCCCGAAGAAGCUGCAGUCGCUUGAACCUGCCGCCGGUCUGACUGCCGUGUACCCACCGGUCUGACCGCUGCGAUGCCGCCGAUCUGACCGUUGGUGUCUCGCUGAUUAGACCGCUGAACCCGAGAAAACACAAAUUGAAGAACUCUAGAUGUAGAUGAUAACUUUAUUACUUCUCUCUGUGUUUACAAAGUGCAACAACAGCACUCCUCACGAAAAUCUUGACAAAACUCGAAACCCUAGCUAAACUUACAACUCAAUCGCUUUAAAAAACGAUACAGGCUUCACGCUCCCUCUCUAUUUAUAUAUGAGGUAGGUAGCCUAAAGCCACGAACCAAACUCAUACUAGAAGUCCUAAUCCAACUAGUAAAUCUUCCCGUACAAGAAACAAACUUUACAAACUCCAAUCAUACCAAAUUUGGACUCCUACCAAAUUCGACUCCGCAUCCAAUACGCACACAAUACCUCCAUCGUAUGCCAUAUGGAUCAUCACCAACCACGUACAUUGAACUCUAGCCUAAGUAUCUCGCAUGAUAUCUGACCGUCACGGACGUCGCCUUAUCCCCAAGUCGACUCCCGAUCCAUCACCGGCAAUACUCUACCGAGGCAUCAAGUCACCUACACAUGAAUCAAACAAAGAAACCAUAUUCCGAGACCAAGCUAUCUUCAACUUGACUCAUUGUUAGCAAACAACAGUAUUACAUACGCAUAGUAUCCAUCUAGAAGCCAACAUAAAACAAUCACGAAUAUCCAAACAAACAACCCGAAACCAAAACCGACACAGAGUUGGCCAGCCCGACGCGAGCUGGCCGGUCUGACCGCGCGAUACACGCCGGUCUGACCGGCAACCACUUCCCGGUCUGACCGGACCCAAAUCACAGCAGUACCUGUAAAUCACCUGUAAAAUCCAAUCAUCUCCAAAACCACUUCGCCGAUAAUCUCUAAAUAUCAAAACCAAUAAUCUCAUAUGCCAAUUGUUCAUCACAGAAUAAGAAUAAAAAACACUUUGAUUUUACAGGGAGCUCACCCGUGGGCACGGUGAGAAUAAUGGAAAGUCGAUGGCAGCGGAACAGAGCUUGAAGUGGUGACGCACUUCGGGUAGGUGUGGAUGAUGUCUUUCCUUAGAUCUUCGGGUGGCGUUGAUGUCCUACGUAUCGAAGACGAGGGCACGAAAAAGAUGCCGACGGAGGUGGCUCCUACAAGUAAUCAGAAUUCUAUUGGCAACCAACCGAUUUUGUUGGUGCUAUGAGAUCCUUCGAUGCCUCGAACGAUGGCAAACGACGGCCGGAGCCCCUUGGAUAUGGAGAGAGACAGAAAGGAGAGCUUUGAAGGCACCAAUAAAAUUUUACUCAAUCUGACAAAUCAAGGCCAAAUUGAAUGUGAAUUUAGAGAGGGAAUGAAGCACAUGGUUGGGGUCAUGACUAUGCUUUCGAGUUGUGGAUUGGAGUGGAAUCACGAGUAGUGGCGACGUGGGGAGAAAGACGACUACUAUGCUGUGGGAUGCACCACUUAUUAGCAUCGCGGGUGAGCGACCUGGUCGGACCGACUGUUGUAUGUACUUAUAGAUGUGGAGGAAGAAGGUCGGACUCGUUGGCCGAUGUGGGGAGGAAGGCCAAGGUGACACGGGAGUGGGCUGACGCGCGGAGGCAUCCCAUGUCGGGAGUAAGGAGAAAGAGAGGGGGGGGGGGGUUUCUUGGUUUUCUUGGGUUUUUCCUUUCGGUUUUUGUCUGGUUCUUCUUAUGUUUUUUGGGUUUUUAAUAUAUGAAAACUUUGUAUACAUGUUGUUUUUGUUUUUUAUUUUUAAAUAUGUAUGUAUAUAAAGUUUGUAUACGUGAAUAUAUAUUUUUAUACAUUAAAAGUGUAUACAUAUAUAUAUAUAUAUACAUACAUAUAUAUAUAUACAUACAUAUAUAUAUAUAUACACACAUAUAUACAUAUAUAUAUAUUAUAUUAUAUUAUAUGCAUAUGUAUACACUAUAUACAUACAUAGCAACUAUAUAUAUAUAUAUAUGUACAAAGUUUAUCCGUAUAUUCAUACGUAUAUACGCGUACAGAGGAGAGAUGAAAUGGGCCGCAGCCCACCUCGGGCCUGCAGCUUUGCAGGCAAGGAAGGCAGAGUGGGAGAGAGAGAAGAAGAAGGGGGAGGGGCGAGGGUAAGCCCGGCCGGCUACGCGUGAAGAGAUGGAAAGGGAAGCCUUUUUUGAAAACCUGGAAAGGGAAGCUUUCGGCCGGAUUUGGCUUAAAGGUUGUUCUCUGUUUAAGAAUUUCAUCAGACCAAGUGUUUUUCCGUACACAAACACGGAAAAUUGUCCAUGUGGACUGGAGAGAUGACACGAUCACAAAAUCAAAGUCACGAGAUUUAACAUCAACUUUUAUUCAACGAUAUAUUGUAAGACGGACAACUAGCUAGUCGAUCAAUCACCAAGCUAGCACACAGAAGCAUGCAUGCAGUACACUGGUAUAGUCGACUAGAAGCAUAGCUGCACAGGACCCAAAUUAAGUACAUACGAGUAACAUAUAUAAGUAAUUACGCAAGCAGCACAAUAUAUAAUUACGAUUUAAGGGUAGAGUACGCGCGUAGUGCAUGCAUGCUUUAUUAGCUAGAGCCAGAUCGCGAUCAGCUAGGCUCUGCUGCAGUUGACAGUCAAGAGGUCCAGGGGAGCUUUGUUGCAGAUCUUGAGGAUGCUACCUGUGACAUUAUUGCUCGCGGUUAUACCGAUUGAUAGUCCGGUGGCCCUGAG
rnacentral:lncRNA from 1 species